UUCAGGCAGUUUUUAGAGGCUGGAAAAAGGUUUAUGGUUCGGGGACUGGCUUUUAAAGUAAAAACUGUUGACGGCAUUUGCUGCCAUGGACAGCGACAGCGACAGGAUCUCAGGCAGAGAGUCAGCUGGGGAAGGCUCAAAGGAUUCCCAACCGUAUAAAUGCAUAUUCCAGAAGGCUAAAAGGGAUAUGCUAUCAGAACUAUUUAAGGUAUGUAUACAAUAGUAUUCAGUCAGUGCAAAUGUACUCAAGAAUGAACUAAAUUUUAAGGUCUCGACCAGACCCUGACCCUCCUCUGCCAAAUGGAAACAAUUUAACAGCAUGGCCCAAGAAGCCGGAUAAAAUCUACGGGUAAGUGUAUUUAGUAAGAAAAAGUGAAAUUAUGAGGGUUU